GCCAGACUCCUACGGGAGGCAGCAGUGAGGAAUAUUGGUCAAUGGCCGAGAGGCUGAACCAGCCAAGUCGCGUGAGGGAUGACGGCCCUACGGGUUGUAAACCUCUUUUGUCGGGGAGCAAAGAGAGUCACGUGUGGCUCAUUGAGAGUACCCGAAGAAAAAGCAUCGGCUAACUCCGUGCCAGCAGCCGCGGUAAUACGGAGGAUGCGAGCGUUAUCCGGAUUUAUUGGGUUUAAAGGGUGCGUAGGCGGAAUGCCAAGUCAGCGGUAAAAUCGCGGGGCUCAACCUCGCUCCGCCGUUGAAACUGGCGUUCUUGAGUGGGCGAGAAGUAUGCGGAAUGCGUGGUGUAGCGGUGAAAUGCAUAGAUAUCACGCAGAACUCCGAUUGCGAAGGCAGCAUACCGGCGCCCAACUGACGCUGAAGCACGAAAGCGUGGGUAUCGAACAGGAUUAGAUACCCCCGUAU
rnacentral:rRNA from 1 species